UACGAAGGGAGCUAGCGUUGUUCGGAAUCACUGGGCGUAAAGCGCACGUAGGCGGAUGUGUCAGUCAGGGGUGAAAUCCCGGAGCUCAACUUCGGAACUGCCUUUGAUACAGCACGUCUUGAGUCCGAUAGAGGUGGGUGGAAUUCCUAGUGUAGAGGUGAAAUUCGUAGAUAUUAGGAAGAACACCGGUGGUGAAGGCGGCCCACUGGAUCGGUACUGACGCUGAGGUGCGAAAGCGUGGGGAGCAAACAGG
rnacentral:rRNA from 1 species